AACGAACGCUGGCGGCAUGCCUAACACAUGCAAGUCGAACGAGACCUUCGGGUCUAGUGGCGCACGGGUGCGUAACGCGUGGGAACCUGCCCUUAGGUUCGGAAUAACUCCCCGAAUGGGGUGCUAAUACCGGAUAAUGUCUUCGGACCAAAGAUUUAUCGCCUUUGGAUGGUCCCGCGUUGGAUUAGCUCGUUGGUAGGGUAAAAGCCUACCAAGGCGACGAUCCAUAGCUGGUCUGAGAGGAUGAUCAGCCACACUGGGACUGAGACACGGCCCAGACUCCUACGGGAGGCAGCAGUGGGUAAUAUUGGACAAUGGGCGAAAGCCUGAUCCAGCAAUGCCGCGUGAGUGAUGAAGGCCUUAGGGUUGUAAAGCGCUUUUACCCGGGAUGAUAAUGACAGUACCGGGAGAAUAAGCUCCGGCUAACUCCGUG
rnacentral:rRNA from 1 species